rnacentral:lncRNA from 1 species
UCUGCCUAUAGAGGCCUGGGGUCCCUUUGGCAGCACUUUUCUCAAGAAAGUAGAGUCGUGGACAACCAACUGCACAGGUUGGGAGGCUUUGAAGAACAAGCUGCCAUGAAUCCUGCAGCUACAAGGAAAUGAACUCUAUUAACUUGAGUGAGCUUAAAACUAGAUCCUUCCCCAGUCAAGCCUCCAGGUGAGAAUUCAAUCCUGGCUGGCACCUGGAUUGCAGCUUACAGAAGACCCAGCUAAGGCCAUGUCUGGACUUUAAAUCCACAGGAACUGCAAGAUGGUAUCAGAAGUGGGACCUGCAGUGGGGCAUCUAGCAACCCCCAGGAGCAUUGAGUGACCAGGCUUGGGACCCACCGGGCGCAGGGUGUCCAUUGUUCUCUCGAAGCAACUGAGAAUUGUGGAUAUUCUUCAUUAUUCCAUCAUCAUCUCAAACCUCUUGGGUAUAGUGUUUGACUACUACUGUGACCAUAAAUUCCAAUAAAACCUAGGAAAAAUGAAACCACUACAUUAACUGAAAGGCUAACCAACCAAGGUCAGCAUGGUGCAAAGAAGUGGUCUACAUUUAACAUUUUGCAGGAAGGAUUUGACAGCUUCUUUUGGGCAUAUCAGAAUCGCCAGCAUCACUACUCUUGCACUGUGCGGCCAUUAUUAAGUGAAAUAAGGAUUACUUGAACACAAGCACUGCAAUGCCGCUACAGUCAAUGUGAUAACCCAGCUGGUGACUAAGUGACCAAGGACGGGGAGUAUCUACAGCGGGGAGACUCUGGAAAAAGGGAGGAUUCACAUCCAGUGCCACUGGGGCAGGGCAGAAUGAGAGUUCAUCAUGCUACAAAGAAUGGCACAGAAUAUACGACUUGUGAGUGGAUUAUCUCUGGAAUUUUCUGUUGACUACAUUUGUACUACAGUUGUAUGUGGGUAACAAACUGUGGAAAGUGAAACUUCGGGUAAGGGGGAGGCUACCGUAGAUAGCCCAGUAUUUCUUAUUUUGUGGAUUUGUUUAUCUUUCUGCUCACAUCCUUUUCCUUCUGCAUUACCAUUUUAGUAAAAAUAGAUAGCAUCCA